UUAAUUUAUUCUUUAUUUUAAUGGUCAGCAUUUGACUGAUACUAAACAGUAAUACUGAUGUUUAUUUAGCUAUUUAUUUUAAUUUAUUCUUUAUUUUAAUGGUCAGUCAUUGACUGAUACUAAACAGUACUGAUGUUUAUUUAGCUAUUUAUUUUAUUUGAAUUUAUUCUUUAUUUUAAUGAUCAGCAUUUGACUGAUACUAAACAGUACUGAUAUUUAUUUAGCUAUUUAUUGUAUUUUUAUUCUUUAUUUAAAUGGUCAGCAAUUGACUGAUACUAAACACAGUACUGAUGUUAAUUAAGCUAUUUAUUUAACUUUUAUUUAUUCUUUAUUUUAAUGGUGGGCAAUUGACUUGUACUAAACAUACAGUACAGAUUUUUAUUUAGCUAUUUAUUGUAUUUUUAUUCUUUAUUUAAAUGGUCAGCAAUUGACUGAUACUAAACAUACAGUACUGCUUUUUAUUUUAUUUAUUUUAUUCUUAAUUUAAAUGGUCAGCAAUUGGCUUAUACUAACAGUACUGAUGUUUAUUAAGCUAUUUAUUUUAUUUUUAUUUAUUCAUAAAUUUAAUGGUCUGCAUUUGACUGAUACUAAACAGUAAUACUGAUGUUUAUUUAGCUAUUUAUUUUAAUUUAUUUUUUAUUUUAAUGGUCAGGCAUUGACUGAUACUAAACAGUACUGAUGUUUAUUUAGCUAUUUAUUGUAUUUUUAUUCUUUAUUUAAAUGGUCAGCAAUUGACAUACCAAACAUACAAUACUGAUGUUAAUGAAGCUAUUUAUUUAAUUUUUAUUUAUUCUUUAUUUUAAUGGUGGGCAGUUGACUUAUACUAAACAUACAGUACAGAUUUUUAUUUAGCUAUUUAUUGUAUUUUUAUUCUUUAUUUAAAUGGUCAGCAAUUGACUGAUACUAAACAUACAGUACUGAUUUUUUUAUUAAGGUCUGUUUUCAUUCCCGCUCAAAAAUGAGCAAUAUCGUCACCAUAUCGGUAAUCGGUGAAUUUUCCCUCUCUAAAAUCGGUAUCAGUCUCAAAAAUCCCAUAUCGGUCAGGGUUCACUCUGUACUUGUACUCUGCACAAUGACAAUAAAGUUUAAUCUAAUCUAAAAAAGAAAGUCUCCAAAACUACAAUCAGACGUCACCUACAUCACCACAAGUUAUUUGGGAGGGUUUCAAGAAAAAAGCCUCUGCUCUCAUCCAGCAACAAACUCAAGCGUUUUCAGUUUGCCAGACACUACUGGAACAUCAAAUUGGACUGGGGUCUAUGGUCAGACGAAACAAAAAUAGAGCUUUUUGGCAGUAAACACCAGAGAUGUGUUUGGUGCACAAAGAGAGUUAGCCAUAUGGAAAAGUACCUCAUGCCCACAGUUAAAUAUGGUGGUGGAUCUUUAAUGUUGUGGGGCUGUUUUUAUGCCAGAGGUCCUGGACAUCUUGUUUGGAUACAUGGCAUCAUGGACUCUAUCAAAUACCAACCGAUAAAAAAAUCAACCUGACUGCCUGACACUGAUUGUGGUAGGAUAACCCUGAUGACAAUGAUCCAAAACACAUCAAAAUCAACACAAAAAUAGUUCGCUGACCACAAAAUCAAGGUUCUGCCAUGGCCAUCCCAGUCCUCUGACCUGAACCCCAUAGAAAACCUGUGGGGUAAACUGAAGAGGAGAGUCCACCAUGUGGACCUCAGAAUUUGAAGGAUCUGGAGAGAUUCUGUAUAGAGCCAUGUGUUCUCCAACCUCAUUAGGCAUUAUAGAAGACUCAGAGCUGUUAUCUUGGCAAAGGGAGGUUGCACAAAGUAUUGAAUAAAAGGGUGCCAAUAAUUGUGCCACACAUAUAUUUGACAAAAAUAUUUUUUUUUGGAUAAAACUUGUGUUGUGUUUGGAAUUGUUUGAUAUCUAUUGUGGAUAGAUUUUUGUGAAUAUUUUGAAUGAAAGGCCAAAAGGAUAAACAAUAAGGAUAUAUUUUUCACAGCCUUCUUUUCUCAUAUUUACCAAGGGUGACAAUAUUUUUGGCCACCAGUAUAUAUGUUUCAGAAUAUAAGUAUUUGACUAAUCUCUUUUUAUUUUCUCAAGGUGGUUUUGUAAUGAUUGAUGGUCAAAUAGGUGUGUAUUUCUCUGAGAGCUGGGAACCCAAUAGCAGCACUUUGUACCUGCCUGUUAAUGGCACGUUGUUAGCCAACAUCGAAAAAUAUAAUUAGAUCAGCUUUGAGCAGGGCUGCUUCUGCAUUGGUAAUGCGACAGGUGGAUUUCAAAAGAAGGUCCAAGGUAAGACUGAAUUGUUUGUGAAUAUAUAAAAAGAUUUUUGCAUUUGUAGUUCACUUUUCAAAUAAUUUGCCUGCUAUGCCAUUGGUGGUGGGCAAUUUUCCCAGUAAUUUGGCAAUAACUUAAUACUCUUGAUAUAACUUAAUACUGUGCUGACACUUUUCUUUAUUGAUUUUAUAUUCCCCAGUGCAUGUAUUCUCAGCUUUUAAACUUGACUCUGUCUCUGUUUACUGGUGUAGGUCAAGUCAUUUCUGGCGGUAUAGUGAACACGAACGAAAGCUUUUUAUUUCACUCUCUUGCUUGUUUACAAAUUACAAGUUUUUGAGGAAGCUAUGAGCACUCUUGAAUCAAACAGAGUUGGCAACUGCCAUUUCAGCUAUGCUAUAAAGCACAGAUCAAUUCUGUGUUAUUUUUCAUAGCCCUGACUUUUCCCUUCCUUGUUACGGUGUCUUCUUCAGUUUUCAGUUAUUCAAUUUUUUUUAACAAUGUUUGUUAUAUAUAUUGUGAUUGCCUUAUACCAACGUCCCAACGGUUGUGGCGAAAGACACAAAUAUGCUCAGUAUAUUUCUAUGCUAUGCUUUGAUGUAACAGUGCCUGGUUCUAGUAUAAUAGUUAAUUGGCUUCCAAUGUCAGAAAUGGUAGAUAUCAACCCAUAUGUAUUUAGUUAAUGUUGAGCAACAUAGCCACUGCUUUGUUUUUGUAUGAUCAACUCUGUAAUAAGUAAUUCUGAUGCUGCAGCUCUUGCUAUGAACCAAAAUGUAACAUUUUGAUUAUAUAGUUAAGCCUAUGCCUGUCAUGUGACAUUUGAUGCCUGAUGCUUAUUUUGUUGCACAUUAUGAAAAUAGUUGUAAACUGCUUUUACUGUCUUUUUUUAUGUUUUUAUUUAUUUAUUUAUUCCAAAUAAAA